rnacentral:misc_RNA from 1 species
AAGACUAUAGACCUGCGGAGUACCUGCGGAAGGAUCAUCAUAGGUUGAGUGUAGGCUAGCGCCGUGCCUGCCCCGCCCGGUGUCUGCCUCCGUCUGUCCGCGAACUGUAUGAAGAGAUUGCGGGGAGAGCUGGGUCGGUGGAGUCCUCUGCCGCCCACGCCCCGCACCAAGUCUUAGUCCUGUCUAUUCAUCCGACUGUAUCCGAGGCACCGCGCCUCGUCUUGACAUAUUACAACUUUU